rnacentral:rRNA from 1 species
CCUACGGGAGGCAGCAGUGAGGAAUAUUGGUCAAUGGGCGCGAGCCUGAACCAGCCACGUAGCGUGCAGGAUGACUGCCCUCCGGGUUGUAACCUUCUUUUUUAAAGGAGUAAAGUGAGGCACGUGUGCCUUUUUGUAUGUACUUUAUGCAUAAGGAUCGGCUACCUCCGUGCCAGCAGCCGCGGUAAUACGGAGGAUCUGAUCGUUAUCCGGAUUUAUUGGGUUUAACGGGAGCGUAGAUGGGUGGUUAAGUCAGUUGUGAAAGUCUCGGGCUCAACCGGUAGAUUGCAAUUGAUACUGGCAUCCUUGAGUACAGUAGAGGUAGGCGGAAUUCGUGGUGUAGCGGUGAAAGGCGUAGAUAUAACGAAGAACUCCGAUUGCGAAGGCAGCCUACUAAACUGCCACUGACAUUGAUGCUCGAAAGUGUGGGGAUCAAACAGGAUUAGAUACCCCUGUAGUC